GUUUUGAACUUAGAGUCAAAUUGGCUUGCUCUAAUUUGACACGCUUUGCCAUCACAUUAAAUGAGCUCACUUCGCAAUUGAAGGUGACUGAACAAUUUGAUAUGUCCAUGAAAAAAAAAACAAUUUGAUAUGUUUUGAAAGUGAGAAUAGUGAUUGUUUCGGUGGGUGUUCAAAGUCAAUCCCUGAAAUUCUAUUUGACUCCCAAAGUAACUUUAUGCAGGAGAAGUUGCCACCCCACAGAUUUGAGGCUCAGACCCAAUUAGAGGUGCUUGGAAAAUGGGGAGUAUGACAUGGCAAAUUCAUAGAAGUUGUGCCUCGAGCAACGGCAGCGGCAGAUGUUCGUUGGUGGAGUUCGAGUGGAGUAAAAAUAUGGCGCGGCCAUGGAGAGAGCCAUCUGUUAAAUCUAGAGAAUGAGAAAAGAAAUCAUGUGAAUAUGUGAUCAUGCAACUGUAAAGGAUAGCUCAGCGGCUGCGAAAGUUAGCUAUGGGACCAAUAGCUUUGCAAAGACUAUUGGAGACUCGAAAAGACGGUGAAAGAGAUUGAAGCUAUUCAAGUGAAUCAAAUGCCAAGGUAAAUGAUCAAUUUGUUGUAGUUUGGAAUAUCAAUAUGUACUAAGCUUUGUAAUAUCAAGUUGUAAUAUUGCGAAACCUAACUUUGUAUGUAAUUGAUAAUUGUGAUGAGAACGGCCCGGCGUGGGUUUUAAAUUUAUUGUAUUAUGGUUUUCGUUGUGAAAUGAUAAUUUGGCAAUAGAUUUUGGUUA